UAAAGGGACUCUCGUCUGGACUAUCGUCUGACAACUUCUCUCCCACCUCUCUCCCUGUCACCGGCUGAAAAAAAGCACCCCCAGUGGAAAGAGAUACUUGUGAGCACGUCUCCUCCGGGUACCUGGGCCUCUCAGUUUGUUCUUUCAGACUCACGCCUGACUGGUGUUCCCCAGGCCCCAGAAGUGGCAAAGUCACUGUCAUGCAUCACGACCAUCCCAUCCUGAUGCAUCAGGGCUCCAUCCACGGCAGGCUUUCCAGGAAGAACGCGGCCUUAGGAAGAAGCAGAGCCCGGAAGCUGGCCGUGUGCACCUGCCUUCGGGCAACGAGCUCUCGGAUUCUGAUGUCAGCUUUCAUCUAAAACAUUUCUGAGUGAACAUCCUACAUGAAAGAUUUGUAAGGAGAACCAAUCUGCCAUGGACCCUGUGUGAGCCUGCAUCUUCUUGCGAGGUGGGCCAAGAGUGCAAGGCUUGGCUGGACUUUAUCUAGGCCAGAUAUGUUUGCAGCAGCCAUUCUGAGAGAUGAGGAAUGUAGCCCACCGCAUGCACCAGGAUGCAUUCUGGACCCUUAGCCUGGCCCCAUGGGAAUGAUGGGACUCAUGGUGAGCCUGCACAAACCAGCAUGAAGCUCUGCAACUCUUCGCUGUGAGUAAGAAAGUUACUGGUCUCUGAUCCAGGAGUCUCGUGUCUUCUAGCAGCAUCCAGAAACAGUCGCAUGGUAGCUUGCUAAUUUGUAAGUAGGACAAAAUCUUGGGUCCUUCACACAUUCUGCAUCAUUCCUGACAGGACGGUGGCUGGUUGGCAAACUUGGCGCUAAAGAACAUGGGCCACUGUCCUAGACAAGGAGUGACUGGUCUCCAAGAGGGAGGGAGAGAGUAGGGGCUAGUGGGCGAGACAUCACUGAAUUUCAGUUGAAGGAGGUUUUCAGUGGAAAACCUUAUGGCUUCCAUAAGGUUUCAAGGUGGGGCAAAAGAGGGAUGGGAGGAGGGGGUAAGAGGAUAGGGUGAGGCUGGCAGGGCAGAUGGAUGGGGCACGCUCCAGUCCUUCAGUUUUUAUAAAAAUAGAUCGACAGGCAUCUUCCGGAGGUCACAUGUCAUUCGCACUUUUGUAGUACUUCGAGAUAUAAGCCCAGGGUAAUAUGUAUCAGUAGGAGACAUCAAAUCGUAUUUUCAAUAUUCAGUGUCUUGGUAAUUUAAAAGUGAAUAACCAUCUUC